UACGGAGGGGGCGAGCGUUAUUCGGAAUUAUUGGGCGUAAAGGGCGCGUAGGCGGCCGGAUAAGUAAAAGGUGAAAUCCCUCGGCUCAACUGAGGAACUGCCUUUGAAACUGUUUGGCUUGAGGCCGGGAGGGGGUAGCGGAAUUCCCAAUGUAGCGGUGAAAUGCGUAGAUAUUGGGAGGAACACCAGUGGCGAAGGCGGCUACCUGGACCGGUUCUGACGCUGAUGCGCGAAAGCGUGGGUAGCAAACAGG
rnacentral:rRNA from 1 species